rnacentral:rRNA from 1 species
UACGUAGGGGGCUAGCGUUGUCCGGAUUUAUUGGGCGUAAAGAGCGUGUAGGCGGCCAGGUAGGUCUGCUGUGAAAACUCGAGGCUUAACCUCGAGAUGUCGGCGGAAACCAUCUGGCUAGAGUCCGGAAGAGGAGAGUGGAAUUCCUGGUGUAGCGGUGAAAUGCGUAGAUAUCUGGAGGAACACCGGUGGCGAAGGCGGCAUCCUGGACCAAUUCUGACGCUGAGGAGCGAAAGCCAGGGGAGCAAACGGG